rnacentral:tRNA from 1 species
GAGGGUAUAGCUCAGUAGUAGAGUGUCUGCUUAGCAUGCAUGAGGUCCUGGGUACAAUCCCCGGUACCUCCA